UACGUAGGUGGCGAGCGUUAUCCGGAAUUACUGGGUGUAAAGGGUGUGUAGGCGGGAGUGCAAGUCAGACGUGAAAACUAUGGGCUCAACCCAUAACGUGCGUUUGAAACUGUGCUUCUUGAGAGUGGGAGAGGUAAACGGAAUUCCUGGUGUAGUAGUGAAAUGCGUAGAUAUCAGGAGGAACACCAGUGGCGAAGGCGGCCUGCUGGACGGUGACUGACGCUGAGGCUCGAAAGCGUGGGGAGCAAACAGG
rnacentral:rRNA from 1 species